CUAUCUUUCACCCGCACCUGCAAAUUCAGGUGCCGGGAUUGGUCUCCUGAAGA
rnacentral:ncRNA from 1 species